rnacentral:rRNA from 1 species
UACGAAGGGGGCUAGCGUUGUUCGGAAUUACUGGGCGUAAAGGGCGCGUAGGCGGUACUUCAAGUCAGGCGUGAAAGCCCCGGGCUCAACCUGGGAACCGCGCUUGAGACUGGAGAACUAGAGUUCGGGAGAGGAUGGUGGAAUUCCCAGUGUAGAGGUGAAAUUCGUAGAUAUUGGGAAGAACACCGAUGGCGAAGGCAGCCAUCUGGACCGACACUGACGCUGAGGCGCGAAAGCGUGGGGAGCAAACAGGAUUGAGAAACCCU